rnacentral:rRNA from 1 species
GGAAUAUUGGGCAAUGGAGGGAACUCUGACCCAGCGACGCCGCGUGCGGGAUGAAGGCCUUCGGGUUGUAAACCGCUUUCAGCAAGGAAGAAGCGAAAGUGACGGUACUUGCAGAAGAAGCACCGGCUAACUAUGUGCCAGCAGCCGCGGUAAUACAUAGGGUGCAAGCGUUGUCCGGAAUUAUUGGGCGUAAAGAGCUCGUAGGUGGUUCGUCACGUCGGAUGUGAAAAUCUGGGGCUUAACCCCAGACCUGCAUUCGAUACGGGCGAGCUAGAGUGUGGUAGGGGAGACUGGAAUUCCUGGUGUAGCGGUGGAAUGCGCAGAUAUCAGGAGGAACACCAAUGGCGAAGGCAGGUCUCUGGGCCAUUACUGACACUGAGGAGCGAAAGCGUGGGGAGCGAACAGGAUUAGAUACCCUGGUAGUCCACGCCGUAAACGGUGGGCACUAGUUGUGGGAACCUUCCACGGUUUCUGCGACGCAGCUAACGCAUCAAGUGCCCCGCCUGGGGAGUACGAUCGCAAGAUUAAAACUCAAAGGAAUUGACGG